UCUUUAUGGGGUGACUGCGUACCUUUUGUAUAAUGGGUCAGCGACUUAUAUUCUGUAGCAAGGUUAACCGAAUAGGGGAGCCGAAGGGAAACCGAGUCUUAACUGGGCGUUAAGUUGCAGGGUAUAGACCCGAAACCCGGUGAUCUAGCCAUGGGCAGGUUGAAGGUUGGGUAACACUAACUGGAGGACCGAACCGACUAAUGUUGAAAAAUUAGCGGAUGACUUGUGGCUGGGGGUGAAAGGCCAAUCAAACCGGGAGAUAGCUGGUUCUCCCCGAAAGCUAUUUAGGUAGCGCCUCGUGAAUUCAUCUCCGGGGGUAGAGCACUGUUUCGGCAAGGGGGUCAUCCCGACUUACCAACCCGAUGCAAACUGCGAAUACCGGAGAAUGUUAUCACGGGAGACACACGGCGGGUGCUAACGUCCGUCGUGAAGAGGGAAACAACCCAGACCGCCAGCUAAGGUCCCAAAGUCAUGGUUAAGUGGGAAACGAUGUGGGAAGGCCCAGACAGCCAGGAUGUUGGCUUAGAAGCAGCCAUCAUUUAAAGAAAGCGUAAUAGCUCACUGGUCGAGUCGGCCUGCGCGGAAGAUGUAACGGGGCUAAACCAUGCACCGAAGCUGCGGCAGCGACGCUUAUGCGUUGUUGGGUAGGGGAGCGUUCUGUAAGCCUGUGAAGGUGUGCUGUGAGGCAUGCUGGAGGUAUCAGAAGUGCGAAUGCUGACAUAAGUAACGAUAAAGCGGGUGAAAAGCCCGCUCGCCGGAAGACCAAGGGUUCCUGUCCAACGUUAAUCGGGGCAGGGUGAGUCGACCCCUAAGGCGAGGCCGAAAGGCGUAGUCGAUGGGAAACAGGUUAAUAUUCCUGUACUUGGUGUUACUGCGAAGGGGGGACGGAGAAGGCUAUGUUGGCCGGGCGACGGUUGUCCCGGUUUAAGCGUGUAGGCUGGUUUUCCAGGCAAAUCCGGAAAAUCAAGGCUGAGGCGUGAUGACGAGGCACUACGGUGCUGAAGCAACAAAUGCCCUGCUUCCAGGAAAAGCCUCUAAGCAUCAGGUAACAUCAAAUCGUACCCCAAACCGACACAGGUGGUCAGGUAGAGAAUACCAAGGCGCUUGAGAGAACUCGGGUGAAGGAACUAGGCAAAAUGGUGCCGUAACUUCGGGAGAAGGCACGCUGAUAUGUAGGUGAGGUCCCUCGCGGAUGGAGCUGAAAUCAGUCGAAGAUACCAGCUGGCUGCAACUGUUUAUUAAAAACACAGCACUGUGCAAACACGAAAGUGGACGUAUACGGUGUGACGCCUGCCCGGUGCCGGAAGGUUAAUUGAUGGGGUUAGCGGUAACGCGAAGCUCUUGAUCGAAGCCCCGGUAAACGGCGGCCGUAACUAUAACGGUCCUAAGGUAGCGAAAUUCCUUGUCGGGUAAGUUCCGACCUGCACGAAUGGCGUAAUGAUGGCCAGGCUGUCUCCACCCGAGACUCAGUGAAAUUGAACUCGCUGUGAAGAUGCAGUGUACCCGCGGCAAGACGGAAAGACCCCGUGAACCUUUACUAUAGCUUGACACUGAACAUUGAGCCUUGAUGUGUAGGAUAGGUGGGAGGCUUUGAAGUGUGGACGCCAGUCUGCAUGGAGCCGACCUUGAAAUACCACCCUUUAAUGUUUGAUGUUCUAACGUUGACCCGUAAUCCGGGUUGCGGACAGUGUCUGGUGGGUAGUUUGACUGGGGCGGUCUCCUCCUAAAGAGUAACGGAGGAGCACGAAGGUUGGCUAAUCCUGGUCGGACAUCAGGAGGUUAGUGCAAUGGCAUAAGCCAGCUUGACUGCGAGCGUGACGGCGCGAGCAGGUGCGAAAGCAGGUCAUAGUGAUCCGGUGGUUCUGAAUGGAAGGGCCAUCGCUCAACGGAUAAAAGGUACUCCGGGGAUAACAGGCUGAUACCGCCCAAGAGUUCAUAUCGACGGCGGUGUUUGGCACCUCGAUGUCGGCUCAUCACAUCCUGGGGCUGAAGUAGGUCCCAAGGGUAUGGCUGUUCGCCAUUUAAAGUGGUACGCGAGCUGGGUUUAGAACGUCGUGAGACAGUUCGGUCCCUAUCUGCCGUGGGCGCUGGAGAACUGAGGGGGGCUGCUCCUAGUACGAGAGGACCGGAGUGGACGCAUCACUGGUGUUCGGGUUGUCAUGCCAAUGGCACUGCCCGGUAGCUAAAUGCGGAAGAGAUAAGUGCUGAAAGCAUCUAAGCACGAAACUUGCC
rnacentral:rRNA from 1 species